CUUGGAUAUUUAGUAAUUUUUAAAAUUCCGUGGUUUUUGCCUCGAUUAUUUUGUUCCUUGUUACCCGCAUCUGCUGUCUAUAAAUUCCCGAGUUUAAGUAUCUCAUUGCGGUGCAUCGGCAAUCUAACAACAUUACGGCUCCAACGUUUAUGCAAACGCUUUAUAUAAAUUCCAUGAAACACUCAAGUCCAUUAAUCUUCAAUCGUCCGCCACAUAAUACUGUAUCCG